UGAGUGGCGAACGGGCGAGCAACACGUGGGCAACCUGCCCAAAAGAGGGGGAUAACACUUGGAAACAGGUGCUAAUACCGCAUAACCAUAGUUACCGCAUGGUAACUAUGUAAAAGGUGGCUAUGCUACCGCUUUUGGAUGGGCCUGCGGCGCAUUAGCUAGUUGGUGAGGUAAAGGCUUACCAAGGCAAUGAUGCGUAGCCGAACUGAGAGGUUGAUCGGCCACAUUGGGACUGAGACACGGCCCAAACUCCUACGGGAGGCAGCAGUAGGGAAUCUUCCACAAUGGGCGAAAGCCUGAUGGAGCAACGCCGCGUGGGUGAAGAAGGUCUUCGGAUCGUAAAACCCUGUUGUUAGAGAAGAAAGUGCGUGAGAGUAACUGUUCACGUUUCGACGGUAUCUAACCAGAAAGCCACGGCUAACUACGUGCCAGCAGCCGCGGUAAUACGUAGGUGGCAAGCGUUAUCCGGAUUUAUUGGGCGUAAAGGGAACGCAGGCGGUCUUUUAAGUCUGAUGUGAAAGCCUUCGGCUUAACCGGAGUAGUGCAUUGGAAACUGGGAGACUUGAGUGCAGAAGAGAAGAGUGGAACUCCAUGUGUAGCGGUGAAAUGCGUAGAUAUAUGGAAGAACACCAGUGGCGAAAGCGGCUCUCUGGUCUGUAACUGACGCUGAGGUUCGAAAGCGUGGGUAGCAAACAGGAUUAGAUACCCUGGUAGUCCACGCCGUAAACGAUGAAUGCUAAGUGUUGGAGGGUUUCCGCCCUUCAGUGCUGCAGCUAACGCAAUAAGCAUUCCGCCUGGGGAGUACGACCGCAAGGUUGAAACUCAAAGGAAUUGACGGGGGCCCGCACAAGCGGUGGAGCAUGUGGUUUAAUUCGAAGCAACGCGAAGAACCUUACCAGGUCUUGACAUCUUCUGACAAUCCUAGAGAUAGGACUUUCCCUUCGGGGACAGAAUGACAGGUGGCGCAUGGUUGUCGUCAGCUCGUGUCGUGAGAUGUUGGGUUAAGUCCCGCAACGAGCGCAACCCUUAUUGUUAGUUGCCAGCAUUAAGUUGGGCACUCUAGCAAGACUGCCGGUGACAAACCGGAGGAAGGUGGGGAUGA
rnacentral:rRNA from 1 species